rnacentral:rRNA from 1 species
UACGAAGGGUGCAAGCGUUACUCGGAAUUACUGGGCGUAAAGCGUGCGUAGGCGGUUUGUUAAGUCCGUUGUGAAAGCCCUGGGCUCAACCUGGGAAUUGCAGUGGAUACUGGCGAGCUAGAGUGCGGUAGAGGAUGGUGGAAUUCCCGGUGUAGCGGUGAAAUGCGUAGAGAUCGGGAGGAACACCCGUGGCGAAGGCGGCCAUCUGGACCAGCACGUGACGCUGAGGCACGAAAGCGUGGGGAGCAAACAGGG